rnacentral:rRNA from 1 species
UACGGGGGGAGCAAGCGUUGUUCGGAUUUACUGGGCGUAAAGGGCGCGUAGGCGGCCACCGCAAGUCGACUGUGAAAUCUCCGGGCUUAACCCGGAAAGGUCAGCCGAUACUGCGGGGCUAGAGUGCAGAAGGGGCAACUGGAAUUCUCGGUGUAGCGGUGAAAUGCGUAGGAUAUCGAGAGGAACACCUGCGGCGAAGGCGGGUUGCUGGGCUGACACUGACGCUGAGGCGCGAAAGCUAGGGGAGCGAACGGG